rnacentral:rRNA from 1 species
UGGGGAAUAUUGGGCAAUGGGCGAAAGCCUGACCCAGCAACGCCGCGUGAAGGAAGAAGGCUUUCGGGUUGUAAACUUCUUUUAUCAGGGACGAAGUAGUGACGGUACCUGAUGAAUAAGCUCCGGCUAACUACGUGCCAGCAGCCGCGGUAAUACGUAGGGAGCAAGCGUUGUCCGGAUUUACUGGGUGUAAAGGGCGCGUAGGCGGGGAAGCAAGUCAGGUGUGAAAUCUAUGGGCUCAACCCAUAAACUGCACUUGAAACUGUUUUUCUUGAGUGAUGGAGAGGCAAGCGGAAUUCCUAGUGUAGCGGUGAAAUGCGUAGAUAUUAGGAGGAACACCAGUGGCGAAGGCGGCUUGCUGGACAUUAACUGACGCUGAGGCGCGAAAGCGUGGGGAGCAAACA